rnacentral:snRNA from 1 species
AGGCUCACUUCAGCAGCACCUACACUAAAAUUAAAACAACAAAGAUUAGCAUGUCCCUUGCACAAAGAUGACAUGCAAAUUCAUGAAGCAUCUCAUAUUUCA